rnacentral:rRNA from 1 species
CAAGUCGAACGCGAAAGGGGGCAACUCCAAGUAGCGUGGCGUAAGGGGUAGUAAUGUAUAGAUAACGUACCCCAGGGUCCGGGACAUCCGGCCGAAAGGCCGUGCAAAACUGGGAGCCGUCUGUGGGGGGCAUCCCCUAUUGAUGAAAGGCAACGCCCUGGGAGCGGUCUAUAUCCUAUCAGCUUGUUGGUGAGGUCACGGCUCACCAAGGCUAUGACGGGUAGGGGGUGUGAGAGCACGACCCCCACCACUGGCACUGAGACACUGGCCAGACUCCUACGGGAGGCUGCAGUCGAGAAUCUUCGGCAAUGGGCGAAAGCCUGACCGAGCGACGCCGCGUGGAGGAUGAAGGCCUUCGGGUUGUAAACUCCUGUUGGAGGGGAACAAUUAAAUGAGUGAUCCUCUGAGGAAGCACGGGCUAAGUUCGUGCCAGCAGCCGCGGUAAGACGAACCGUGCGAACGUUAUUCGGAGUCACUGGGCUUAAAGAGCACGUAGGCGGCGUCGUAAGUUGGAGGUGAAAUCCCAUCGGCUCAACCGUGGAAUUGCCCCCAAAACUGCGAUGCUCGAGGAAGAUAGGGGCAUGUGGAACUUCCGGCGGAGCGGUGAAAUGUGUUGAGAUCGGAAGGAACGCCGGUGGCGCAGGCGACAUACUGGGUCUUUCCUGACGCUGAGGUGCGAAAGCCAGGGGAGCAAACGGGAUUAGAUACCCCGGUAGUCCUGGCCGUAAACGAUGGGUACUGAGUAGGAAGCGUUCCGAUGGCGCCUCCUGCUGGAGCGAAAGUGUUAAGUACCCCGCCUGGGGAGUAUGGCCGCAAGGCUGAAACUCAAAGGAAUUGACGGGGGCUCACACCAGCGGUGGAGCAUGUGGCUUAAUUCGAGGCUACGCGAAGAACCUUAUCCUAGGUUUGACAUGUGGGAC